rnacentral:lncRNA from 13 species
UGCUCUGGAAAGCAUCCUGGGGGCUGAACCUUAUGUGAGGCAUGGGAACCCUGGCGGCAAGUUUUUCCCUGUACUGUAGGCUGGCUUUUAGGAAUGAGGCUCCUGGAGAGGAACUUGAUUAGCCUCAUUGCUCCUCUUGCCACACUUGGAGUGGCCAGAUCCUAUUCUUUCGCAGCACAGUUUCCGUGUGAAGAACCAGUCCGACAGUAGACAAGGUGGAAGCCAAUCUGGAAGCCACUGAAGGCCUCCAGGCAAAAGAUGAUGGUGGAGGAAGAGACCAAAGCCAAAGUCUGGAUUUGAAAGUUAUUAUGAUGUUCCUCUCCUCAAGAAUUAAUGACAUGCCACUUUGGGAGGCCAAGGCCGGUGGAUCACGAGGUCAAGGGAUCGAGACCAUCCUGGUCAACAUGGGAAACCAGUGCAAAAACUAAUCAGGGGAAAGAAAAAGACUCACAACACCACUAG